UUACCCACUCCCGGCACGGGGAGGUAGUGACGAAAAAUAACGAUACGGGACUCAUCCGAGGCCCCGUAAUCGGAAUGAGUAUACUCUAAAUCCUUAUACGAGUAUCAAUUGGAGGGCAAGUCUGGUGCCAGCAGCCGCGGUAAUUCCAGCUCCAAUAGCGUAUAUUAAAGUUGUUGCGGUUAAAAAGCUCGUAGUUGGAUCUGUGUCCCGCACCGUCGGUUCACCGCCUGUCGGUGUUCAACUGGUGUGUAUGCGGGACGUCCUGCCGGUGGCGGUCCGGUUCCCCGUGGGUACGUAGGGGCGUCCUUGCGCACGCUUGCGUCGUCCCCGAAGGCCUGCGCGGUGUAUCCGGCCGCCUUUUCAAUCCCGUCGCGGUGCUCUUCACUGAGUGUCGAGGCGGGUUUACUUUGAACAAAUUAGAGUGCUUUAAGCAGGCCCUGUCCCCCUGUAUGUUGUGUGCAUGGAAUAAUGGAAUAGGACCUCGGUUCUAUUUUGUUGGUUUUCGGAAUCUGAGGUAAUGAUCAAUGGGGACAGGCGGGGGCAUUCGUAUUGCGACGUUAGAGGUGAAAUUCUUGGAUCGUCGCAAGACGGACCGAAGCGAAAGCAUUUGCCAAGUAUGUUCUCGUCGAUCAAGAACGAAAGUUAGAGGUUCGAAGGCGAUCAGAUACCGCCCUAGUUCUAACCAUAAACUAUGCCUGCCAGCGAUCCGCCGAAGUUCCUCCGAUGACUCGGCGGGCAGCUUCCGGGAAACCAGAGCUUUUGGGUUCCGGGGGAAGUAUGGUUGCAAAGCUGAAACUUAAAGGAAUUGACGGAAGGGCACCACCAGGAGUGGAGCCUGCGGCUUAAUUUGACUCAACACGGGAAAACUCACCAGGCCCGGACACCGGAAGGAUUGACAGAUUGAGAGCUCUUUCUUGAUUCGGUGGGUGGUGGUGCAUGGCCGUUCUUAGUUGGUGGAGCGAUUUGUCUGGUUAAUUCCGAUAACGAACGAGACUCUAGCCUACUAACUAGGCGUACCCGGUAUCCACAAUCGUGCUACCGGCGGUCAAAUUUCUUCUUAGAGGGACAGGCGGCUUCUAGCCGCAAGAGACUGAGCAAUAACAGGUCUGUGAUGCCCUUAGAUGUCCUGGGCCGCACGCGCGCUACACUGAAGGAAUCAGCGUGUCUUCCCUGUCCGAAAGGACCGGGUAACCCGCUGAACCUCCUUUGUGCUAGGGAUUGGGGCUUGCAAUUGUUCCCCAUGAACGAGGAAUUCCCAGUAAGCGCGAGUCAUAAGCUCGCGUUGAUUACGUCCCUGCCCUUUGUACACACCGCCC
rnacentral:rRNA from 5 species